UGAUUAGAUGGAAUAAGAACAU
rnacentral:snRNA from 1 species